UUGAUCCUGCCGGACCCGACUGCUAUCAGAGUAGGACUAAGCCAUGCGAGUCAACGCCGCAAGGCGUGGCAUACGGCUCAGUAACACGUAGUCAACAUGCCCAAAGGACGUGGAUAACCUCGGGAAACUGAGGAUAAACCGCGAUAGGCCAAGGUUUCUGGAAUGAUCCCUGGCCGAAAUCUAUAUGGCCUUUGGAUUGGACUGCGGCCGAUCAGGCUGUUGGUGAGGUAAUGGCCCACCAAACCUGUAACCGGUACGGGCUUUGAGAGAAGGAGCCCGGAGAUGGGCACUGAGACAAGGGCCCAGGCCCUAUGGGGCGCAGCAGGCGCGAAACCUCUGCAAUAGGCGAAAGCCUGACAGGGUUACUCUGAGUGAUGCCCGCUAAGGGUAUCUUUUGGCACCUCUAAAAAUGGUGCAGAAUAAGGGGUGGGCAAGUCUGGUGUCAGCCGCCGCGGUAAUACCAGCACCCCGAGUUGUCGGGACGAUUAUUGGGCCUAAAGCAUCCGUAGCCUGUUCUGCAAGUCCUCCGUUAAAUCCACCUGCUCAACGGAUGGGCCGCGGAGGAUACCGCAGAGCUAGGAGGCGGGAGAGGCAAACGGUACUCAGUGGGUAGGGGUAAAAUCCAUUGAUCUACUGAAGACCACCAGUGGCGAAGGCGGUUUGCCAGAACGCGCUCGACGGUGAGGGAUGAAAGCUGGGGGAGCAAACCGGAUUAGAUACC
rnacentral:rRNA from 1 species